rnacentral:rRNA from 1 species
ACGGAGGAUGCGAGCGUUAUCCGGAUUUAUUGGGUUUAAAGGGUGCGUAGGUGGACUUUUAAGUCAGCGGUAAAAUUUCUCGGCUUAACCGAGGUCAUGCCGUUGAUACUGUAUAGCUGGAAUACGGAUGCUGUGGGAGGAAUGUGUAGUGUAGCGGUGAAAUGCAUAGAUAUUACACAGAACACCGAUUGCGAAGGCAUCUCACAAAGCCGUUAUUGACGCUGAUGCACGAAAGCGUGGGGAUCAAACAG